CCUAAAACGAAGCUCUCAAUUAUUUUCAUUUCAUUUUUUUUUUUUUUUUUAAAUCAGUAUUCCGAAAUAACUGUCCAUUCGUCAAACAAUACUGCAGUGGUUACCGCGGUUAUCGGUUGGACAAAAUUGUACGUAAAGGAGUUAUAGGUACCUACACGUCAUAAUAUCUUUAUACCUGGGAAAGAAGUCAAUUUUCGGAAUAGUUUUUUCUAUUUAUAUUUCAGAUUUUGAGUUGAACGAGGAAUGUAUUGGUUUUACAAUGAUGUUUAUUUUUUUUUUAUCUAUGAACAACUUUUCUACCAUCGAUUUUCCUCCGAUUUACAAUGGUAGCACUCUUUCAAAA